AUUGAACGCUGGCGGCAGGCUUAACACAUGCAAGUCGAGCGGGGUGAUGGUGCUUGCACUAUCACUUAGCGGCGGACGGGUGAGUAAUGCUUAGGAAUCUGCCUAUUAGUGGGGGACAACAUCUCGAAAGGGAUGCUAAUACCGCAUACGUCCUACGGGAGAAAGCAGGGGAUCACUUGUGACCUUGCGCUAAUAGAUGAGCCUAAGUCGGAUUAGCUAGUUGGUGGGGUAAAGGCCUACCAAGGCGACGAUCUGUAGCGGGUCUGAGAGGAUGAUCCGCCACACUGGGACUGAGACACGGCCCAGACUGCUACGGGAGGCAGCAGUGGGGAAUAUUGGACAAUGGGGGGAGCCCUGAUCCAGCCAUGCCGCGUGUGUGAAGAAGGCCUUAUGGUUGUAAAGCACUUUAAGCGAGGAGGAGGCUCUUUUGGUUAAUACCCAAGAUGAGUGGACGUUACUCGCAGAAUAAGCACCGGCUAACUCUGUGCCAGCCGCCGCGGUAA
rnacentral:rRNA from 1 species